rnacentral:rRNA from 2 species
UUCGGAAGGAUCAUUACCGAGUUCAUGCCCUUACGGGUAGAUCUCCCACCCUUUGUAUACUAUACCUUUGUUGCUUUGGCGGGCCGCCUAGCUACUGGCUUCGGCUGGUAUGUGCCCGCCAGAGGACCCAAAACCCUGAAUUAUUAGUGUCGUCUGAGUAAAAUAUUUAAUAUUUAAAACUUUCAACAACGGAUCUCUUGGCUCUGGCAUCGAUGAAGAACGCAGCGAAAUGCGAUAAGUAAUGUGAAUUGCAGAAUUCAGUGAAUCAUCGAAUCUUUGAACGCACAUUGCGCCCCUUGGUAUUCCGAGGGGCAUGCCUAUUCGAGCGUCAUUAUCACCCCUCAAGCCUAGCUUGGUGUUGAGGCCUGCUGUCAAGGCAGCCUCUAAAAUCAGUGGCAGUGCUGUCAGGCUCUAAGCGUAGUAAAUCUAAUCGCUAUAGACACCUGGUGGACACUCGCCAGAACCCCCCCAUUUUUUAAUGAUUGACCUCGGAUUAGGUAGGGAUACCCGCUGAACUUAAGCAUAUCAAUAAGCGGAGGAAAUGAUGA